rnacentral:tRNA from 1 species
GCCCUUGUGGUGCAACGGUUAAGCACUUGGCUGCUAACCAAAAGGUUGGUGAUUCGAACCCACCCAGUAGCU